UUUACUAACUGAGUGACCUUGAAGAUGACUUAACCUAAGAAUCAGUUUUUUUUUUUUCAUGUAAAAUAAUGGACAAUCAUCUAUCUGAUAGGGUUCUUUGAAGAUAUACAUGGUGUAUUGGUUGGAAACCCAGGGCUUAAUAAUUACUAGAUGUUGUUGUUGUUAGUAUUAUUCAGCUAUGAUUCCAUUGCCUGUUAUUUUUCUCCAACAUUUUAUUAUGAAAAAUUUUAAACAUAUGGAAAAGUUAAAAUAAUUGGACAGUGAACACUCAUGAACCUAACAUCUAAAUUCAAUAAAUAAUAUUUUAUUAUAUUUGAUUUGUCAUAUAUAUAUUCACCUAUCCAUCACUUCAUCUAUCUUUUAAUGUAUCUUAUUUUAAAAUGAAUUUUAAAGUAAAUUGCUGACAUCUUCCUCUUAAAUACUUCAGCUUUAUUAUCAUUAACGAGAGUUCAAUAUUUGUGUAUGGUUCUUCUUCUGGUGGUGGAGGGAUGAAAUCUAGAUACCAUGAAAUACACAAAUUAUAUCAUUUUUCAUGUAACCCUAUUAAGAUAUAGAAUAUUUCUGUACCCAAGAAAGUUUGCACUGGCUCUGUUUAGUCAGUCUUCACCUUUACUCCUAACCCUGAAUAUUGUGUGAUUUUUAUAGCUAGGAUUCCAGGCAUUUUUUAAAGGAUAGUGAUAGGAAUAUUUGGGAGCUGGGGAGUUGCAGCAUGUGCUUUUUAUCACACCACAGAUGCUGGAACUUGGUAUAGUUUUUCCAUAUGAGAUUUUAUAAAUUUUGCAUUUUUAUAAAAGUAUAGUAAUUCAUUCAACAAACACUUACUUACCAGAUACCUUGCUAAGUACUGAGGGAGACAUUCUGAAAUCAAGUGAGUGAAGUAGAGCAUUACAGAGGCUGUGAUAAAAAUAGGUACAGAGUAUAAUGGAGGCACCAAGAAGGGAGAGGUUUAGUUCUUCCCAACUUGGAAACAUAGGCAAGGAUGGCCUUGAAGAGGAGGUGAUAUUUGAGCUGAGUGUUGUAAAAGAUGAGUUGGUAUUCAAAGGCAUUAGUGGAGUGGGAGAGGAGUUGGAAAACAGUGUUUCAGGGUGAGCAAGGGCAAAGGGGAAGAAGGAGCCUGGUGUGGUGGGGAAUGGUUUUCCUAGGCUGGAGCAAAGGCAGCAAAGAGGAAGCUAAGAUGGUAGAUGGAGAGGACUUUGCAUACCAUGCAAAUGACUUCGGUUUAUUUCUAUAGCCUAGGGAGUAAUUGAAGAGGUUUAUUCAUUUAUGAAGGGGAUUAAACCCAAGAGAGAAAUUGUUAAACACUGCAGUUAGUAGCUUAAGAAUAUUUUAUGAUCAGAUCAAAAUCAUAUUUCUUCUUUGUGUUAUUAAACUGUCAUUUUAUGUUCAUAUUCUGACUCUUUCCCCAUUUAUCUUUCUAAAAUGACAGGUAGUGUGCCAGUAUUUGAAAAAUCCCAAUGUAUCUGAUUCACUGCUGCUGCAGAAUAUUUUCCAAGCUCUGAAUGUAUAUUACAAUUAUUCGGGCCAGGUGAAAUGCCUGAAUAUUUCAGAGACAGCAACUAGCAGUCUGGGAACACUGGGUUGGAGCUAUCAGGCCUGCACAGAAGUAGUCAUGCCCUUUUGUACUAAUGGUGUCGAUGACAUGUUUGAACCUCACUCAUGGAACUUAAAGGAACUUUCUGAUGACUGUUUUCAACAGUGGGGUGUGAGACCAAGGCCCUCCUGGAUCACUACUAUGUAUGGAGGCAAAAACAUCAGCUCACACGCAAACAUUGUUUUCAGCAAUGGUGAACUAGACCCCUGGUCAGGAGGUGGAGUAACUAAGGAUAUCACAGACACUCUGGUUGCAGUCACCAUCUCAGAGGGGGCCCACCACUUAGAUCUCCGCACCAAGAAUGCCUUAGAUCCUAUGUCUGUGCUGUUAGCCCGCUCCUUGGAAGUUAGACAUAUGAAGAAUUGGAUCAGAGAUUUCUAUGACAGUGCAGGAAAGCAGCACUGAGAAACUUUUGAUUGUUUUCAGUUUCUUCUUUUAUGUUCACACCACCACAUUCCCAUUCACUUUGAUUUUCUACAUGUAAUUACCUUCUUUUGUUUAUCAUUAGAUUUGAUGGGGCCGAGGUUGAGAUAGAAUAGAGGGUGAUGACGGUAAGAGCAACUGUCCCAUGAAUGUGAUUUUCUGGGUUCUCACUGUCUUUGCACCACGUCUAGGAAGAAUCUUUGUGAUAGCUCUCCCACACCAUCAGUGGCCCUCAUAACUGGAGUAGAGUUCCUGUUUGCUUUUCAUAAGAGGUAGAGUCACUUUCUUUGUAUCUCUGCAAGCAGAGAUUUCUCUUUGGUUUUGAGGUUGAAGUGUCUUUGGCCCAUUUGUAAGUCCCCAUCCCUACCCUACACAAAGUAAAAGCAGAAGAUAGAUAAAAAAUGAUGUAAUUGCAGCUGGUAGGAUGUCUGGUGCCAAUCCAGGAAGUGAGAGCCAUUUCUUUUGUACUGGAUUUAAUGACUUUGAACUGUGCUGUAAAUAAAUAAUACAGCUGG
rnacentral:sRNA from 1 species